GAAUGUUUCUAUAUGCAAUACCAUAAAAUGUUUUUUGCGAAUAGAAAGCAGAAGUGGUUAUUUAGUUAGUAUUAUGUUUACUAGGAUAGGCAACCCUCUUCCUGUUUUUGAUUAAACCAAUGUGGAAGUGCAGGUGUGUUGAAUUUAGUAGAUUACUAUCCUGAUCAAUUAACCAAAUAGCUUCUUUUCAUGCCUAGUCAUACCAGUGGCCCUCUAGAACAGGGUAGCCUUUACUUUUCUCACUGUUAGCACAACAAACAGACCUCCAAACUCAACCAAACAUUUUUGGGAGGUUGGUCUUUUCCAGCUGCCUACUCAGACUAAAUCAGAGACAGUACAGAAAACCAGGACAACCCAGUGUAUAACAUCUUGCUGGCUACUUCACCCGAUGAUGGAAUGUCUUAGGGUUGGCUUUCUGGGUUUCUGUAGCUUUUCCAGAAAUCUGCCAUUGUGCUAUCGUUCACCAUAGCUGUUGGUGUGGCAUAGUGUUUAGCUAGACCAAGUUUGUGUAGUCUUACAUGUUAUUUUAGGGCUUUCACUUCUUGCUGAAAAAUUCACAACAUCAAAACAUUUCUAUGGUUCCUCUGUUUUUUUUGUGUGACAUCUGUGACUGACAGAGUGUAUAUUUUUGUUGAUAAAUAUUAUGUAGAAUCAAUUUAGAUAUAAGAUAUUACUGAAUUGAUUCCUUUUUCUUCAUACCUGAAAUUACUUGAAGUGUAUCUAUAUCACUACCCUUUACCACCUCUUUCCACUGUAUGUUUGAGAUGAAUUUGUAGGUAAGUGCCGAAAUAAUUGUUAUGCAAGAUGUCAAUCUACCCAGUGUGGGUUUAGCACUGUGUUCCAGUAAUGCUGAAGUGCACUCAGAGCACACAAGGCCUAUUCUGUUGCUAUGAGGCUGGCACAAUGACGGCUAGCCCUGGUGUCCGAUGUUGGGGCUAAGUGAUGCAGAUGUACCUUGAAUAGAUGAGAUGUGUAAAUUUAGGCCAAAACAGCGGUUUGGAAUUUCCUUGAAUAUUAAAGGGAUAUUUUACACUCUCUUUAUGUUUUUUGUUCAUUAGUUCACUGAUGAUACAAUCCCCUAAAAGUGUGCAAAAACAUCACCAUUAGAUAAUUUUCUCUAUAUUCAGUGCUGUAACUUGAAAAUGUGACUACUGACACACAUUGAGGACUGUUUUAUUAGUGGACUCUCUGAACUAAAUACUCAAAGGAUUUGAGGCAAACUAUCCUUUUUAAACUAAAGAAAAGUGUACUAGGAAACUGAUCGGAAAAACAAAAAACUUUAUGAACUAUAAAGCAGAAAAUCUCAAAUCCAUCAACGAACCAAUAGUAUUAAUGCAAAGUUACUAAGAGAUCUGUUCAGGGUACAGUUAAUUUAGAAUGCACUUUUAUAAGAGAUGGC
ensembl:lncRNA